rnacentral:rRNA from 1 species
UACGUAGGGGGCAAGCGUUGUCCGGAAUCAUUGGGCGUAAAGAGCGUGUAGGCGGCGCGGUAAGUCCGCUCUGAAAGCCCGGGGCUCAACCCCGGGAGGCGGGCGGAUACUGUCGGGCUAGAGUCCGGAAGAGGCGAGUGGAAUUCCUGGUGUAGCGGUGAAAUGCGCAGAUAUCAGGAGGAACACCAAUGGCGAAGGCAGCUCGCUGGGACGGUACUGACGCUGAGACGCGAAAGCGUGGGGAGCAAACAGG